AUCCAUCCCCCAGUGCUGUCACAAUCCACCACUCAGUGGUGGAUCCUACAGAGGGACAUCAGCACCUGAAUAUAAACAGAAAGGAGUGCAAGGUCGCAAAGCACUCACAUGUGAUGUUAUCCUCCACCAUCCAGUGACAUCACAAUGGGACAUCAUGGCACGCCUUUGUUCCCUCUCACCUCAGCACAUAGGUCUGGGACUGCUGGCAGAUAUUGCCAUGGAAAAGGACAUGGGGGGUCACCAGAGGCCAGCAGCCAGGCUGGACUCUGUGUGGCCCUGGUUGAGACAAAGGCAGGAGGGAAUACACUAGGGCUGGUAGUGGCUGGCAGGGGCUGUGGAGAGCAGCAUCCUGCACAGAACAGUGGCAGAGAUGCAGGAAGAAGCCAGCACACUGGAGGCCACCUCCACCAGGGCUCCCAGCAAACUUUCCCUUCUGUGCCUGUCACUGCAGAGCAGGACCAGCCCCAGGAGGAGAGGAUUUUCUCCAGUUUCAAGAUAAUCUAGAUUCUCUUGCCUGUUGACCACAGGGAACUGAUAGAAAAACAAAUAAAAGGAAAGCAAGGUAUAAAACAAAUUGGUUUCUACUAAUGAGGCUUUAAUUACACUCCUCGAAUCUCCAAUUUCCAGCGCCUUCAAAAAACCACUUCUUUCAUGCCAUCAAGUCAAUUAUUUCCAUAUCUUGAAGCGACAUGCGGAAUAAAUAAAUAGACUCCACAACUCGAUGUAGUUAUCAAGUGGGUAUGUAUGGCAGCGCCCGGCACAAGUGAGAUAACUCUCCGAAAUCUUGUGCCCCGAGCUGAAGUCUGCCCCCCAACUUUAUUCACAAAGGUGUUCCAUGUGCAAUACAUUACACAACUUUUCUAUGCAUAUUCAACCCCUGGCCCCGCCUGUCUUCGCUUCUCAUGCUAAAUAGGUCCAUGCCCUUCUGGGCAUGCGUAGUUUUUUGUGGGGGCUUUUAUGGGGGUCCCUGGUGGUCUUUGAGCCACAAACCAUCAUCUUCCUCCGCAUUGAACUUUUGAACUCUUCUCCUCUGCGCUUGCGCUUUUGGUCCUUUGCUCUCCUAUCUGGAUAAGUUCAUCAUCCUUGACAUGUUUGGAGACAGA